rnacentral:ncRNA from 1 species
AUGGCCGCUGGUCGGUGUUGACGCAAUGUGAUUUCUGCCCAGUGCUCUGAAUGUCAACGUGAAGAGAUUCAUCAAAGCGCGGGUAAACGGCGGGAGUAACUAUGAGUCUGCUUCGCGUCGGCCGCGGUUGUUUUGCGCGCCGACUU